rnacentral:rRNA from 1 species
CCGCCAGACUCCUACGGGAGGCAGCAGUGGGGGAUAUUGCACAAUGGGGGAAACCCUGAUGCAGCGACACCGCGUGGGUGAGGAAGCGCUUCGGCGUGUAAAGCCCUAUCAGUGGGGAAGAAAAAGGACGGUACCCAAAGAGGAAGCUCCGGCUAACUACGUGCCAGCAGCCGCGGUAAUACGUAGGGAGCGAGCGUUGUCCGGAUUUAUUGGGUUUAAAGGGUGCGUAGGCGGUUUUUUAAGUUAGUGGUUAAACGUCGGGGCUUCACCUUGAUUUGCCAUUAAUACUGUAAGACUCGAGUUCAGACGAGGUAGGCGGAAUAAGUUAAGUAGCGGUGAAAUGCUUAGAUAUAACUUAGAACUCCGAUAGCGAAGGCAGCUUACCAGACUGCGACUGACGCUGAAGCACGAGAGCGUGGGUAGCGAACAGGAUUAGAUACCCGAGUA